UCCAGAGAAGCCUGGGGCUCCCCACAUAAACCCCAGCAAGCUCAAAAAUUGACAAAUUGAAGGGCCAAAUCAGUCCCAAAUUGAAAUCCAAGCAUGAAUACAUGAUCACCUCAGUGAAGGGAUCGCAAGGCAAGGAAAUUGAAUCUUCAAGCGGCCAAUUGGAGCGGACGCGCGCGCUUGAAGGAUAAGCUUUGAAGGUGAUGUUGGACCUAAUCCGGAUGGCGAUCAAGCAACACUCAAGAACCGAACGCACCAAACAAAGCUUCCACAUUUGAUCUAUUUUGUUUUAGUAACAUGUAAACACUUGAAAUUAUGUUUGAAAGUUCAUCUAGUAGGAUGAUGACUUGACUAUUUUUAUCAAAUAUGAUCUCAAAACUAAGAAAAUUUUUGUAAGUUCGAUAAUUUUGUACUAAAUGCGUGUUAUAUGUUAUCAAUUCUGUUACUUUUAA